rnacentral:rRNA from 1 species
AGGACGAACGCUGGCGGCGUGCCUAAUACAUGCAAGUCGAACGGUCUUUCUAUGGAAGCUUGCUUCCACUGAGAAGAUAGUGGCGAACGGGUGAGUAACACGUGGGUAACCUGCCCAUAAGAGGGGGGAUAACAUCCGGAAACGGGUGCUAAUACCGCAUAGUUUCUUGAUCGCAUGAUUGAGAAAGGAAAGACGGCCUUUGUGCUGUCGCUUAUGGAUGGACCCGCGGCGUAUUAGUUAGUUGGUGAGGUAACGGCUCACCAAGACGAUGAUACGUAGCCGACCUGAGAGGGUGAUCGGCCACAUUGGGACUGAGACACGGCCCAAACUCCUACGGGAGGCAGCAGUAGGGAAUCUUCCGCAAUAGACGAAAGUCUGACGGAGCAACGCCGCGUGAGUGAAAGAAGGUUUUCGGAUCGUAAAACUCUGUUGUCAGAGAAGAACAAGUUGGAGAGUAACUGCUCCAGCCUUGACGGUAUCUGACCAGAAAGCCACGGCUAACUACGUGCCAGCCGCCGC